rnacentral:rRNA from 1 species
AUGAACGCUAGCUACAGGCUUAACACAUGCAAGUCGAGGGGCAGCAUGGUCUUAGCUUGCUAAGGCCGAUGGCGACCGGCGCACGGGUGAGUAACACGUAUCCAACCUGCCGUCUACUCUUGGACAGCCUUCUGAAAGGAAGAUUAAUACAAGAUGGCAUCAUGAGUUCACAUGUUCACAUGAUUAAAGGUAUUCCGGUAGACGAUGGGGAUGCGUUCCAUUAGAUAGUAGGCGGGGUAACGGCCCACCUAGUCUUCGAUGGAUAGGGGUUCUGAGAGGAAGGUCCCCCACAUUGGAACUGAGACACGGUCCAAACUCCUACGGGAGGCAGCAGUGAGGAAUAUUGGUCAAUGGGCGAGAGCCUGAACCAGCCAAGUAGCGUGAAGGAUGACUGCCCUAUGGGUUGUAAACUUCUUUAUAAAGGAAUAAAGUCGGGUAUGUAUACCCGUUUGCAUGUACUUUAUGAAUAAGGAUCGGCUAAUUCCGUG